rnacentral:rRNA from 1 species
UAGCUGCAAUACCGCGAGGUKGAGCUWAUCUCAUAAAACCGUUCUCAGUUCGGAUUGUAGGCUGCAACUCGCCUACAUGAAGCUGGAAUCGCUAGUWAUCGCGGAUCAGCAUGCCGCGGUGAAUACGUUCCCGGGCCUUGUACACACCGCCCGUCACACCACGAGURUUUGUAACACCCGAAGUCGGUGGGGUAACCUUCCGRARCCGUGCGACAACA